CCAAAGAGGAUUUGAACCUCGCUCAGGAGGGAAAGCGGGGGGCGUGCUUUACACACGCAAGUCGAGAAGAUGAGAGGUCGUGCUUGCACCGCUUGAUUAGUGGCGAACGGGUGAGUAACACGUGAGUAACCUGCCCUCCACUUCGGGAUAACCUCGGGAAAUCGUGGCUAAUACCGGAUAUGAGCGUCUCAUCGCAUGGUGGGUGUUGGAAAGAUUUAUCGGUGGGGGAUGGACUCGCGGCCUAUCAGUUUGUUGGUGAGGUGAUGGCUCACCAAGACGAUGACGGGUAGCCGGCCUGAGAGGGCGACCGGCCACACUGGGACUGAGACACGGCCCAGACUCCUACGGGAGGCAGCAGUGGGGAAUAUUGCACAAUGGGCGAAAGCCUGAUGCAGCGACGCCGCGUGGGGGAUGACGGCCUUCGGGUUGUAAACCCCUUUCAGUAGGGAAGAAGCGAGAGUGACGGUACCUGCAGAAGAAGCGCCGGCUAACUACGUGCCAGCAGCCGCGGUAAUACGUAGGGCGCAAGCGUUGUCCGGAAUUAUUGGGCGUAAAGAGCUUGUAGGUGGCUUGUCGCGUCUGCCGUGAAAACCCGAGGCUCAACCUCGGGUCGUGCGGUGGGUACGGGCAGGCUAGAGGCAGUAGUAAGACCCGACC
rnacentral:rRNA from 1 species